AUCUAGCAUGUCUAAUACACUUUGCUUUCUUACCGUCUGAGUUUCUGAAUUAGCUUGUUUCAGGUACCUACGGAUGGACAAUAAUGUUAGCUUGUGUCUAACUUUAGCCUUAAGUUACAGUUUAGCUAACUAAUGUUAGCUAGUGUCUUAACUAUUGUUAGCUAGCUUGGCAGUUCAUUACCAAUAUAACAUUUCAUAUAUUAACUAAUUUUAGCAAACACUUGUGUUCAGUCAUGAGCAGUGAGACAAUUGAGCAUUAGCUGUUGUAGAGAUACUGUUGACAACAGUAUAGAGUUUAUUAUUUCAUUUUAAUAGUCUUUGUGGGGCUGUGGUGGUUUAGUUACCUUUUUGAUGUCAGCGUUUGUGAUAGACACCCCCUUUGUUUUCAACUAGGAGUUCAGGAGUUUUACCUUGUCUGGUAAAAUAAUAAUAUUAAAAUACAUGUGUGCUGAAGGCUCAGUAAUUGUAUUAGCAGUGGUGGAAAUUAAUUAAGUACUGUACUUAAGUACAAUUUUGAGGUACUUGAACUGGCAGCAACAAUGUAUAGGUCUCAAACAACAUAGACAGAAAACUAAAGGAAUUAGGCUACUACCACCUGUAUGUAUAUACCUACUAUUAAUACAGGCCAAUUGCUGACUUGAAUGACCUUUGAAGAAACAUCAAUUUAAAUCAAGGCAUUUAUUAUAUUAGCUAUAGACAGAGUAUGUAGAUCUGCCCUCAAAACACACAACAAAAUUAUAAUUUCCCUAAUUUUCACUUUAAUAGAUAUUUCAAAUAGAAAGUUGCUGUUUGACACCAGGACAGGAGAAUUUCACCAAAACAACUAGAGUACUUCUAUCAAACAUUUUCAAUAGGUAACUGUCACUGGGCUAUGAUUUAUAACGUGAUGGCCCCCAUGAUGGAAGUUCAUACACUCGGCAGGCCCUGAUUUACCAAUACCUUAAGUGAACUUUGCUUAGCUGAGGUAACAACAGGAAGUUCUUUUGAUUGUCCUCCAUACAGUGGACAUAGAGUAUAUAAUGCUGACAACGUGUUCGCCUUCAUACCCUAUAUUUUGAACGUCUUUACUUAGCUGUAAUCUAUUCCAGGCAUUAGUGGAGCAAUCAGCUCUCCAUCAGAGGUCCCAUUCCCAGCUGUCCAUAGUCCUUGUACCUCUGACUUCUGGAAGCACAUGUACACAUAAGGGAAAGUGUAAGGCACCUUGUCUCUCUUAAGUUUGAAAUCUGAGCCAACUGUGGUUUCAGAUGAGGGUGCUAUUGUUAGAAUGCUUGUUAUUUACCGAAGGUCACUUGAGGAGGUGUUAAGUAUUGGACCCAGCCUCCAUGUGUCCUUCUCUUGUCUUACUCUUUCUCCUGGCCUCCAUUCAGACAAUGAAGUAGUUAGUGGUUGGUGCAUCUGCACUCAGAUCUGAAAGACGCCCAUAGAUUAAGUUUUACAUUUUUCUGCUGAUGAAGACUCAACAUUGCACAUAACAGAAACAGGGCAUAAAGGUAGGAUUUGAAUUACAGUGUGUUUUAAUGUAUUUCGCUGAAUCAUGUUUCGUUCAUUAUGUGAAAUAUUUUAGGUAACAUAUAGACAAUCUACCAUUUACGCACAUUAAAUAUGUACCAUCUACUGGUUUUCAUGGAAUCUUGUAGCACUAUGUGCAGUUGGAGUGAUGUUGUUUAUAAAGUUGCUUGAACUAUGUUAGGUCUUGAAACUGAAGAAGUACUGAAGAAAUAUACUGAUGAAAGAUGAGCAAGGCCUACAACUGUGCAAUGGGGUCUUUUUUUUUUUUUUUUUUUUUUAAGAAAAUUUGGACAAAAGCUUUCCUUUACAUUAUAACCCUUAUUAUUUUUGUUUUUAUCUUAUUAACAGAUUCAAGUUUUGAGGUUAUAGCAUAUUGUAUUUUAUAUUAGUGAGCUUAUUUGAAUAAUAGUUAUAUGUUUAUUGUAAUGCAUUUAGAUAAUUUUCUGAUCUGUAGAAAUUUCACUUACUAUUUACUUACUACUUACAUGAAACAGAACUGAAGUGAUCCAGGCACCUGGCAGAAGAGAGCCUUAUUAUAACAGGAAGAAACCUCCAGCAGAACCAGACUCAUGCUGGGAGGCCGUCUGCCUCGACUGGUCGGGGGAGGGAGGACAAAGAGGAUCCUGUUGGGGAAGCCCUUUCUGCAGAUCCUGAUGCCUUCCAGCACACCGUUACAACGCAGCUGGUGCAUCACCAGAGGAUUCUCCAUGGCCCCAGGAGUCUUGGUCUCAUUGGGGAUGAGGCAGCGUACAAAGUGAGGACUAUGGACCUCUGUGUGGACUCAUCUCCUGAGUACUGCUUGUCUUCUAAUGAGGCAAUGAUGAGGACAAACAGAAAGGUGGAGGACUCUACCCCUAAAUACACCAAGUCCAGAUUAUCUGCUGUCAGACAUCUCUGCCUGUAUUCGGUUUCCCAAAUGGCCCUCCUUGUCUGGCUUUGAGAAGAGCAUUGUUUUAACUACAGAAAGAAUGACCUCCACUGUGCACUACUGAUAUAAAGACACCUCUGUUUGAAAUCUGCAUAAAGGAUCCUGUUGGGGAAGCCCUUCCUGCAGAUCCUGAUGCCUUCCAGCACACCGUUACAGCGCAGCUGGUGCAUCACCAGUGGAUUCUCCAUGGCCCCAGGAGUCUUGGUCUCAUUGGGGAUGAUGCAGCGUACAAAGUGAGGCUGUCUGAAUCCCGUUGGAAAUCUUCAUCUAUGCUGUGUCCCCUUCCUGGCUUUCAUCUCCUUCUCACUGUAUCGACAUGGAGCCACAGCCGGACUCCUCUAAGAUAUCUAAAACCUCGUAAGGGCACAGCAUUGUGGGAUCAAGGUCAGCAUUGAGUACUCGACUAACAUCAAGCAAACAUCAAGGGGUGGAUGUGAAUCCACCCCUCACUUUGCUCCUGCUCGACGUUUGUAUCGGUCUCUCUACUGUGCUGCCUCAGAUGCAUGAGUUACUUUGGAGACAAAGGGGACUACAGCACAGGAGAUCCCAAAGCUCUUAGGUGGCCGUCUGUGAGUUUCACUCCUCAUCUAGCCCUUUCUGUGAUGAUAGAGAGUAGACAGAGAGACGGAUUAGAGACAAAAGACCAGCAAGACUCAACAAGUGUUACACAAGGUAGUACACCAAAACUGCAUUUUGUAAUGUUGAAGAUGUUAGAAGUUAAUGCUUUUUUAAUGUCAGCAUUUCCUCAUUGAGGCAUAUUGGCUUCACAAAUGUUCAAGAAAAGUCAUGUUGAAUUUGUACAAUUGGAAAAUUAAUUCAGUACUGAAUGUAUUUUGAGAAAAGCUAAGAUUAUAUGUAUCAUAUAUUGAAAUUCAUAUAACAUUUGAAGAGCCAAGCUUAUCUUCAGUAAGUUUCAAGCCACAGUUUUUCCAUGAAGCAUUGUUUGGCAUCUUUAUUUGGUUUAUUUGCCCUUACUUUGAUUUGAUUGGUUGGUAAUGUUUAUUGCUGUCUCUGCAUUCACAAAGAAUCUCUGUGAUGAAGACAUUAUAGUAAAAAUCCUGGGUUGAGUCUGGACAGGGACCUUUUCUACAUAACAUUUCGCUCUUCCCUCAUUUUCGGACCCAUCUUUACUGUCAACUCACUAACAAAGCUGUCAUGGAGCCUUCCCUGUGACAAAAAUUAUAUUAUCACUAACCCCAUUAAAUUACACUUACAAUUAACCAAAUCCAGAAAAGCAAAAUAAAAAAGAUCUGUACAAAGA